rnacentral:rRNA from 1 species
AUGCGAAGCGAAGCAGUGAUGUGAAGCAAAUCGCNCCAAAGCCAGUCCCAGUUCGGAUAAGAGGCUGAAACUCGCCUCUUUGAAGUCGGAAUCGCUAGUAAUCGCAGAUCAGCAUGUUGCGGUGAAUACGUUCCCGGGUCUUGUACACACCGCCCGUCAAACCAUGAGAGUCACCAACACCCGAAGUCCGCCUUGGCGGCCUAAGGUGGGGGAGAUGAUUGGGGUUAAGUCGUAACAAGGUAGC